rnacentral:rRNA from 1 species
CUCUCCAGCCAUGUCACUCUGAAGAAGCCCGAUGUCUGAUCUCGGAAGCUAAGCAGGGUCGGGCCUGGUUAGUACUUGGAUGGGAGACCACCCAGGAAGACCAGGUGCUGUAGGUG